rnacentral:rRNA from 1 species
AGAACGAACGCUGGCGGCAGGCUUAACACAUGCAAGUCGAACGCUCGUAGCAAUACGGGAGUGGCAGACGGGUGAGUAACGCGUGGGAACAUACCCUCCGGUUCGGAAUAGCUCAGGGAAACUUGGAUUAAUACCGGAUACGGCUGAGAGGCGAAAGAUUUAUCGCCGGAGGAUUGGCCCGCGUUCGAUUAGCUUGUUGGUGAGGUAACGGCUCACCAAGGCGAUGAUCGAUAGCUGGUCUGAGAGGAUGAUCAGCCACAUUGGGACUGAGACACGGCCCAAACUCCUACGGGAGGCAGCAGUGGGGAAUAUUGGACAAUGGGCGCAAGCCUGAUCCAGCCAUGCCGCGUGAGUGAUGACGGCCUUAGGGUUGUAAAGCUCUUUCGCUCGGGACGAUAAUGACGGUACCGAGAUAAGAACGCCCGGCUAACUUCGCGCCAGCAGCCGC